AACCUCCGCAAUGUGAGAAAUCGCGACGGGGGGAUCCCAAGUGCCAUUCUUAACGGGAUGGCUUUUCAUUAGUGUAAAGAGCUUUUGGAAUAAGGGCUGGGCAAGACCGGCGCCAGCCGCCGCGGUAACACCGGCAGCUCUAGUGGUAGCAGUUUUUAUUGGGCCUAAAGCGUCCGUAGCCGGUUUAAUAAGUCUCUGGUGAAAUCCUGUAGCUUAACUGUGGGAAUAGCUGGAGAUACUAUUAGACUUGAGACCGGGAGAGGUUAGAGGUACUCCCAGGGUAGAGGUGAAAUUCUGUAAUCCUGGGAGGACCGCCUGUUGCGAAGGCGUCUAACUGGAACGGUUCUGACGGUGAGGGACGAAAGUUAGGGGCGCGAACCGGAUUAGAUACCCGGGUAGUCCUAACUGUAAACGAUGCGGACUUGGUGUUGGGGUGGCUUUGAGCUGCUCCAGUGCCGAAGGGAAGCUGUUAAGUCCGCCGCCUGGGAAGUACGGUCGCAAGACUGAAACUUAAAGGAAUU
rnacentral:rRNA from 1 species